rnacentral:lncRNA from 1 species
UCACGCUUCUUGUGAGUAGGAUCUGUGACUGCCUGACUCUCCGCAGCACCUCUGCAGAGCCUGGCAUGUAGAAGGUGCUCAGUGAAUACUGGUUGAGUGAAUAAACAAGAAAAACCCUGAAGACCAGGAGAACAUGGUUAUUUUAUAAAACGUCACAAAAGGUAAGGGGAAAACAAACAGUGGAGAAGCGGGAGCAGCUAAUCUGUGAUCUUGAUGGAGAAGAGGUGCUGCGUAUGUAUCCAUAAUGAAAGACCAAGAUUGACAGGAGGAAGAUGGGCCAGGCAGGAGGGUAUAAAUAGCAGCGCUGGCUUAUUUGUAACUUUCAUUUUUAGAAGGACACCCUCAUACCUGUGAGACGGAGCAGCCGGGUGCAAGGCGGAAGGAGGAGCAAAGACCCCACCGAGUGUGGGGAGCCUUCAGGUUUGCGGCUGAUGCUAUGGAUGGGCCGUUAGCAGGAGAGGAGCAUGGCUAGCAAGAGUCCUGUGGCUGCGGACUGGCGUGGGGAGAAGUGGGGACCAGACACCACUCAGCAGGAUUCCAGGUUUCCAGGCUGGGGAGCGGGGAACUGGACAGAUGUGAAGAUGUUUAAGAAAUACCAGCCAGAAGAGAUUGUGGCACUCUCACGAUGGCUCUUCCGCCAUCCAAACAGAGCUGUUCAGGAUGAGAGAACCCUGGGGCACAGCUCCCCCUCUUCCUCCUGGGUGCAGCCCUGCUAGGGAUGAGACCAUCUGCAGCAGGAGGUGCACAGCCAGGCCCUGGGAGCUGAAGACAGCCCACAUCUCUCUGGGGUGAACUGUCCUGGAGCUCCAUGGGGCAGGAGGGGCACAGGGCGUUAUAAGCCGAGGUUUCCUAUUAGCUUGGCCAGGCUGAUUUAGGGGGGAACAGAUACAGAGAGGGGACAAAAACCCCCCACACUCUCCAGAGUCAGUACUUAAAACAAAACUGCCUCAUUCUUAGAAAGCACGAUGUCUCCAGUGCAGAGGUGGGGACCCUUAGGAAAGGGUGAUGCUUGCAUUUCCAGAGGUGUGCGUAUGAGUUCCUUUGAAAAGGUGCCUUGUGUGUUGAGGACACGAAGACCCCCAGGGCAAUGGGAACCAGGAGGCUGGGGGUCCAGUCCCAGCCUCGUCACCGACCCUCAGCGUGACCUUGGGCAAGUCAUGUGAUCUCCUGGGCUUUGGGCUGAGUGAGCCUUAAAGUCACUUCUGGCUGUAACACGCCAGGAUCUAGU